UAAGGUGUUCAAGUAAGAGUCAGAGAAACUGACACUAUUUUGAAGGAACGAACUUUGAUAUUUCCCCAUGUUCUCCCAUAUCUAAGUUUGCUUAGCAGCAAAAUUUCAGCUGAGUAGUUUCAGAGUUUACAGGUAUUUUACAUUAAUGAAUUAAUUUUUUCAUUCUACAGGCAGACAAGAGGCAGAGCCAUCAUAAUUAUGGACAAGACUGACUUAGAAGAAAGUCCCCUAGAGCAACUGAAUAGCAUGCUACUCUGUAAAUCAAAUAAGCACCUAUUAACAUCAGUUGUAUAGAGUUUAUAAUGUGGUGUUACUGCUGCCUUGCCAAAUGCCCUAGGAGUUAGAAUUAUUUUUCCUCCAACGUGCCUGAAGACUGGACAAAAAAAUCAUUUGGAGCUGAUCUAAAAAAAACAAAAAACCCCUAAAAGAUCCCUGAAGACUGCUGAAGUAGUCAAGUACAUAUCCCAUUCUACUUUCAAGCUAUGGCAUAACUUCUUCAAAAAUUAUCAGCCCUCCAAAUGCAACCUUCCCUCCCUCAGCUGUAAACUGUACGACAGCAACCAUGCUUAACACUUACUAUGUGUCGCCAUUCUACGUAUUACAAAUAGUGGUUGUGAUAACUACAGGAACCUGCAACUGCAUAGAUGCUGAACAGUACUUAUCUACUUAUGGUCUGUGCCAUGCUGCCUCUCUCCCCUCAAGAGGGAUUUAACAUCAGUGAUGUGUCCCAUUGAUGCUUCCUGUUGGUCUGUAGGCCAAAAGAUGUAUGGCAGAAUCAGAGGAUACUUUGUAAGCUUUUAUUGUAUAAGCAGUCUGCAGAGGCUACCACUAAAUAGCCUUAUUAUGGCCUUGUUUCCAUGUCUGAUUUUACUCCAGCCGAGGCAGUAACAUCAGAAAUAUCCGCCAAACACUGUAUACAAAUCACUGAUAUGAUCCUGGAAAGGGUAAGUUACUGCAUUCACAAGAAUCCUUCAAAAUGAUAGUAAAAUGCAAGUCUCAUUUGGCAGUCUGAUUUUUUGAUCUCUGCUGGAGAGAACCUGAUGUGUGGCUAAAAUUUUUUCUUCUCCCCACAAGAAGCAACUGAGAAGUAACUACACCCACAGCACCUAGUAAAAGAAGUUGUAUUUCUAGCUGUAAUAAAUAAUCUCUCUUUUCAAAGCACAGAUGUUUUACAGAGAAGAUGCAAGAGACUUUUGCUCCACAAUCCUGGUACAUUACUGUAACUCUCAUUAAUAAGUAGGAAGACAUCUGUUUAACUAGCAUGCUAGGGAGGCUAGAAUUCCUCCUAAUGUAUAUUUUCUAUUUGAAUUUUCCACACCACAUAUAA